UGGGGAAUAUUGCGCAAUGGUCUAACGACUGACGCAGCGACGCCGCGUGAGGGAUGAAGCUUUUCGGAGUGUAAACCUCUGUUGCCCGGGACGAACUACCAGAUUUCUCUGGUUUGACGGUACCGGGUGAGGAAGCACCGGCUAACUCUGUGCCAGCAGCCGCGGUAAUACAGAGGGUGCGAGCGUUGUCCGGAAUCACUGGGCGUAAAGGGCGCGUAGGUGGUUUGGUAAGUGUGUGGUGAAAGCCCGGGGCUCAACCCCGGGUCUGCCAUGCAAACUGCUGAACUUGAGCAUACUAGAGGCAGGUAGAAUUCCGGGUGUAGCGGUGGAAUGCGUAGAGAUCCGGAAGAACACCGGUGGCGAAGGCGGCCUGCUGGGGUAGAGCUGACACUGAGGCGCGACAGCGUGGGGAGCAAACAG
rnacentral:rRNA from 1 species